rnacentral:rRNA from 1 species
UACGAAGGGGGCUAGCGUUGCUCGGAAUUACUGGGCGUAAAGGGCGCGUAGGCGGCCAGUUAAGUCAGAGGUGAAAGCCCAGGGCUCAACCCUGGAAUUGCCUUUGAUACUGGCUGUCUUGAGUACGGGAGAGGUGAGUGGAACUCCGAGUGUAGAGGUGAAAUUCGUAGAUAUUCGGAAGAACACCAGUGGCGAAGGCGACUCACUGGCCCGUUACUGACGCUGAGGCGCGAAAGCGUGGGGAGCAAACAGG